UCCUUUCCCUCUCAAAAUAUCUCAAUAGCCUAUCUAACAUAUACACCUACAAAACUAUUCCUCUCAAACAAAAUCAAAGCUUCAGUCAACAAUUUCCUUAUUCCCCUUUUCCAUCUUUCGGCUGCAGACCCUUCCAAACACACACACUCCACUCGAUUCUCCUCUGAUGAAGAUCGCCGACAGAACCAGAGGUGACCGGAGUAACUCCGGUGACGUCUGACACUAACAUCGACAACCACGGCAUUGCCGACGAGAUUCCGGCGACUAUCGACGACGGGUCACGGCAGUCAGUAGCCCGAUUUCUUGAGGUUUCCGGCUCCGGUUCAGAUUGUUUCGAUUUGGGUUAGAUGUGGUUUCGGAAGACUCAGUUCAGCUUGGUAUGAAUCAUUCGAGUCUCAACAUCAGGUUCAGAUGUCUCGGUUCAGUUUCAGCUCGGUUCGGUCUGAGCUAGUCAGCGGGGCAGUCAAGGUUCAAGGUUGGCUCAGGUUCGGGUGCACGAUGGUUCAGUUAUGAGUCUCAGUUUCGGUUCGGUGUUCGAGUCAAAUCGGGUCAGCUACGGUCAAACAGUCAAACGGUCAACACAGGUCAUUUGGUUCAGGUCUCGUUUAGGCCAGGGUCAGUCGCGAGUUUGGGCUGUUCGGAUCUUAUUUCAGUUCGCGUCUUCAGUUCAGGGUGACCUCGGUGUUCCAUCCUCCAAUUCUCACACUCUCGUCAACACUUGGAUAAUCGG